rnacentral:misc_RNA from 1 species
GAUGAAGAACGCAGCGAAAUGCGAUAAGUAAUGUGAAUUGCAGAAUUCAGUGAAUCAUCGAAUCUUUGAACGCACAUUGCGCCCCCUGGUAUUCCGGGGGGCAUGCCUGUUCGAGCGUCAUUUCACCACUCAAGCCUCGCUUGGUAUUGGGCAACGCGGUCCGCCGCGUGCCUCAAAUCGACCGGCUGGGUCUUCUGUCCCCUAAGCGUUGUGGAAACUAUUCGCUAAAGGGUGCUCGGGAGGCUACGCCGUAAAACAAACCCAUUUCUAAGGUUGACCUCGGAUCAGGUAGGGAUACCCGCUGAACUUAAGCAUAUCAAUAAGGGAGGA